CGAUUUUGGAGACUCGGUUUUAUUCGGUUUUGACGGUUUUAGACAAUUUCAAAAUAUUUUCGGGGAUUUGGGAAUUUUGAAAAUGAAAAUAAAUCGCAUCUUUCCGUUCGGUAUCACUCCUUUCUAAUCCAAUUGUCUUUUUAUUGACUAUAAGUUACUCAUCGUCAUCCGCUCUUAGCUAACAGGAUUUCAGCCAUAUGUUCGACAUAUGGAUGAUGAUGUCACAAUUGAACGGAUUGCUCAGGUGUGUAUCAGUUUCGUCAGCUUAUGCCAUGAAUUCGGGGACGAAUUCCUUAUAAGUGGGGGAGAAUUGUAAUGACCCACCACUCCCACCAUCUCCACUUCUUUCUCCAACCCCACCACUUCUACCUUCUUCUCCACCAUCUCCACCUUCUUACCCACCAUCUCCAUCUUCUUUAAAGCUUGAGAAAGAGAGAGAGAAGAAGGAGAAGAAGGAAGAAAGCUCACCUGAGCUCGUCGCCGGAGCAACCGUGCGCCGUGACCACGUUCAGCUUGCCACCACCGAUAAACACCCUAGACUACCAUCGUGUUCCUCUCGUCGAGACGAAUCCGUAGCCACCAAAAACGCCUCAAUCGGAGUCCGGACGAAGCCGCACGCGCCUCCGGAAGUUUCGCCUCUGCGCGCGCGUGAGGUACACGCGCCGCUGCCGGACCACCGUCCCCCGCCGCCGGAAUAUCCGCCGUCGCCGCCGUUGACCAUCGCCGGUAACUCGCCGGUGACUCGGUCAACUCGUCCGAGUCAACUCAGUGAGUCAACUCGGUUGACUCGGUUAACCGAUCGGUUAGCCGGUUUAAAUUGAUUUCGGUUCGGUUAGGGUAAACCGAUCGGUUAGGACAAAUUGAUUUCUGGUCAAGGGUUGACCGGAUUGACCUUUGACCAAUUUGGAGUCCAUUUGAGCAGCUGGAGGUCAUAUAUACCACUUCUCUUCAUUGCUAAGGUGAGACCGACGAGCAGGAGUGAUUAUCGGACCGGUGCUAUUGGGCUUUUGGGCUUCUAUCGUUUUUAUCGUUUUUAUCUUUAUCGGGCCUUUAGGCCUUUGGACUUUUAUCGUUUAUGUUAUUCCUAUUUCAGACUUUCGGUUUAUGUCGUAUUUUAUAUUUCGGAUGUUAUCGAUGUUGGGUUUUUAGGCCUUUUGGUAUCGUAUUGACUUUUAUAUUAUGAUAUGAAGAUUAUUAUUA